UAUAGGUGUGGCAUGAGGGGGCGUUCAGGAAUAGGGCGAGGCCUCAAACAUACUUAGCACAGGUGCUUGCAGCUGCACCAGACUGCAGCUGCUCAUGCAGCUUUAUACCAUCACUGACUGCAUGCCUGUACCCCUGGCCCUGGGCUACCAUGUUCCAUGUACACCAGCUAGGAUCUAGGAGUCAAGAGUCACCUGCAUCUGCAGCUUGAAAGAAAAGACAAUUGCAAAUUUUCUUAAAGAGUAGAUAGUACCACCAUCUCAAAGAAAAAAUUUACAAAUCACUGCUAUACCGUAUCGGCGUAUAACUCCACCAUGUACCAGCUUCAAAGAAAAAGAAUUUAAGUUAUGUUGCUCAUUGCUAAAUAAAUGUGUUUACGUGUUUCUUCCAGCUGCAGAUUUUACCGUACCUCGGCCCCACAAUGUGUACCAGCUAGGAGUCUACUCUUAACCACCUUCAUCGACUUCAAAGAAACGACUUGCAAGUUAUGUCAGAUUCCAUAAAACUAUAUAGCUAGCUAGAGGGCAACUGUCCCUGGUUUCGACCUUCAUCUGUAGCAUACUGAUUUACGAGUUUGUGUCUUCAUGUGUCAGUUACACUGGUUUCGACUGGUCAACUUCGUCCAUGGGGUGAUAGCUAGCAUACUGAUUUACGAGUUUGUGUGUAUGUGUCCUCACGUGUCAGUUACACUGGUUUCGACUGGUCAACUUCGUCCAUGGGGUGAUAGCUAGCAUUGUAAUUUACCAGUUUGUGUGUAUGUGUCCUCAUGCGUCAGUUACACUGGUUUCGACUGGUCAACUUCGUCCAUGGGGGCAUACUGAUUUACGAGUUUGUGUGUAUGUGUCCUCAUGCGUCAGUUACACUGGUUUCGACUGGUCAACUUCGUCCAUGGGGUGAUAGCUAGCAUACUGAUUUACGAGUUUGUGUGUAUGAGUCCUCAUGUGUCAGUUACACUGGUUUUGACUGGUCAACUUCGUCCAUGGGGUGAUAGCUAGCAUACUGAUUUACGAGUUUGUGUGUAUGUGUCCUCACGUGUCAGUUACACUGGUUUCGACUGGUAAACUUAGUCCAUGGGGUGAUAGCUAGCAUUGUAAUUUACCAGUUUGUGUGUAUGUGUCCUCAUGCGUCAGUUACACUGGUUUCGACUGGUCAACUUCGUCCAUGGGGUGAUAGCUAGCAUUGUAAUUUACCAGUUUGUGUGUAUGUGUCCUCAUGCGUCAGUUACACUGGUUUAAUUCGACUGGUCAACUUCGUCCAUGGGGUGAUAGCUAGCAUACUGAUUUACCAGUUUGUGUGUAUGUGUCCUCAUGUGUCAGUUACACUGGUUUCGACUGGUCAACUUCGUCCAUGGGGUGAUAGCUAGCAUACUGAUUUACGAUUUUGUGCAACUUCGUUCAUGGGGUGAUAGCUAGCAUUGUAAUUUACCAGUUUGUGUGUAUGUGUCCUCAUGCGUCAGUUACACUGGUUUCGACUGGUCAACUUCGUCCAUGGGGUGAUAGCUAGCAUACUGAUUUACGAGUUUGUGUGUAUGUGUCAGUUACACUGGUUUCGACUGGUCAACUUCGUCCAUGGGGUGAUAGCUAGCAUACUGAUUUACGAUUUUGUGUGUAUGUGUCCUCACGUGUCAGUUACACUGGUUUCGACUGGUCAACUUUGUCCAUGGGGUGAUAGCUAUAGCAUACUGAUUUACGAGUUUGUGUGUAUAUGUGUCCUCACGUGUCAGUUACACUGGUCAACUUCGUCCAUGGGGGUGAUAGCUUAUACUAUUUACAUUUUGCACUACAUAUGUGUUGGUAACUAUAGUGACUUCAAUCUUUUGUUCUGUAGGGGCUUAUUGUGACGAAAAUGAUCUGAGGGAUGUAGCGUUCAUGAAACCAAACGAAACGCCUGUAGUUCACUGUACUGGAAUUUCAAGAAACGCUAAGUGAUGAACACUAAAAACAAUUUACUGACAGAAGAAAUGUAUUGUGCUGCAUGUCAUGUGAUCCAGUGAUCUUAUUCUAUCAUAAACUCA